rnacentral:rRNA from 1 species
GACGAACGCUGGCGGCGUGCUUAACACAUGCAAGUCGAACGGAAAGGCCCUGCUUUUGUGGGGUGCUCGAGUGGCGAACGGGUGAGUAACACGUGAGUAACCUGCCCUUGACUUUGGGAUAACUUCAGGAAACUGGGGCUAAUAACGGAUAGGAGCUCCUGCUGCAUGGUGGGGGUUGGAAAGUUUCGGCGGUUGGGGAUGGACUCGCGGCUUAUCAGCUUGUUGGUGGGGUAGUGGCUUACCAAGGCUUUGACGGGUAGCCGGCCUGAGAGGGUGACCGGCCACAUUGGUACUGAGAUACGGCCCAGACUCCUACGGGAGGCGGCAGUGGGGAAUAUUGCACAAUGGGCGGAAGCCUGAUGCAGCAACGCCGCGUGCGGGAUGACGGCCUUCGGGUUGUAAACCGCUUUCGCCUGUGACGAAGCGUGAGUGACGGUAAUGGGUAAAGAAGCACCGGCUAACUACGUG